rnacentral:misc_RNA from 1 species
CUUGGACAAAAGAAAGGAAAAAAUUUUCCACUAUCUGUGAUCAGUACGGAUGAAUAGAAUAGAAUGGAAGAAUCCCCUUCAUUAUCUAAAAAAAAAGAUUCAUCAUAUUCGUCUAUUGUGUAUCAAAUUUAUGGUUUCAUUGGUGCAAAUUCAAUCACCUCAAUUUUCAAUUUAAAACGAGAAAGAAUUUCCCAUUGGUAGGAAAUGAUUAUCCAUUAAGCAGGGAAAUCUUAUUUAAAUUAAAAGGCCAAAAUUUAUGCCCCUACUCUUGCAAGAACGGACUAAUAGGGUCAACUAAUUAACUAAUCCUCAUAAUUAAAUACCGUUACUGUAUAGAUAGAUCUCCUUGUGAAAGGCCUAUUACUGGAUAAUUCAUGGGUAGAGCCGCCAAAGAGUGUGAACUGUACACGUUAACAAUAGCAUUGAUUAAAUGAUUAAAUGAAGGAGGGGGCUCCGGUGUAUAGAGAAGACCUCACCGUUUAAGAAGUAACCAUAGAAACGAUGGAACCCACUAUUUAUUUAUCAUUUUUAUCUAUUUCUAUUUACUACUUAUUUUUAUUUAUAAUAUUUUUAUUCGAUACCCAAUAUCAAUACAGUUUCUUAUUUCGAGGUGAAAUGCCUCAAACAAAAAAAAUCGUGGUUGGGAAGGUUAUAGUAGCAAAAGCCGUUGGAAUUAUUAUUUUAUACACUGGAAGAAUCCGUUUUGUUAUUAUAGAAAAGGGGAAAAAAAAGAAUAACUGAAAGAAAGGAAAUCAAUUAGUUAUUCAUCAAAAUUUCGUUUAUUCAAUGACCAGAAUUAGACGAGGAUAUAUAGCUCGGAGGCGUAGAACAAAAAUUCGUUUAUUCGCAUCAAGCUUUCGCGGGGCCCAUUCAAGACUUACUCGAACUAUU